rnacentral:rRNA from 1 species
AGCGAACGCUGGCGGCAGGCUUAACACAUGCAAGUCGAGCGGGGCCUUCGGGGUUAGCCGCGGACGGGGGAGUAAAGCGUGGGGACGUGCCUUCUGGUUUGGGAUAACUCAGGGGAAAUUGUGCGAAUACCGGAUAUGGCCUCUUGUGGGAAGGUUGUGUGCCGGAAGAUCGGCCCGCGUCUGCUUAUCUAGUUGGGGGGGUAAAGGGCUACCAAGGCGACGUUCAGUAGCUUGGCUGAGAGGAUGAUCAGCCACACUGGGACUGAGACACGGCCCAGACUCCUACGGGAGGCAGCAGUGGGGAAUAUUGGACAAUGGGCGCAAGCCUGAUCCAGCCAUGCCGCGUGAGUGAUGAAGGCCUUAGGGUUGUAAAGCUCUUUUAUCCGGGACGAUAAUGACGGUACCGGAGGAAUAAGCCCCGGCUAACUUCGUG